CAUUUUAUAUCUUUGCUGCUUGGCCCAAUAUUGUAUCACAGGCAUCACCAGCGUUGUGCUUCCCAGCAUGCCCUAGCAUCCUUUCAAACAAGCAUUCGCUGUAGCAGAAAGUCCAAGAAAAGGCUUACUCCCUCGAGGAUCAAGAAGAAAGCAACAGUGAAGAAAGGACUGGUGGCAGCACGGAGAAUACGGAAAGCAGAUAAAGAGGAAAAUGAGGAGGUGGAGGUGAGCAGAAGGCAGCUCAGAAAAUUGCACAAGCUGUGGGGAAUUUUUGCAUCUAGCCGCUCGCACACCGCAAAGGGAGCGACUCUGCCAUCUGCACCUCCUCUCAAAAAAAAAGGAAGGGAGAAGAGGGACAGAAUGGAGACAAAAAAAGAAAUCCACCUGUUGUGCCUCUUGUUUUGGCUGUGGUAGGAUGGAUCCAUGCUGAAUGCCUGCUGUGGGAGGGGAGGGAAGCCAACGGAGGUAUUGUUGUGUCUGAGGAGGCACCACGCGUGAGUCCUCUGCACGGCUCUGUCCUACUGACACACUGGGAAGAGGAGGGAGGAACUAUUUUAAUCUCAUUGAGGCUGCUGAAGAGUAAAAAUGGAAGUAAUUAAAGGCCUGCUCUAGUCUCACUUAAAUCCCUUAGUCUUCAGGCCAGAGUUAUUUUUGUUACAUU
ensembl:lncRNA